UGUAACAGAUGUGCCCUGGGCAAGACCACU
rnacentral:piRNA from 1 species